UUCUGCAUUACGCGUUAGUUCUUUGCCCUUGUUCUCAUCGAAGAUAUUAUUGUGACUGGGAUAUUCUGCAUUUAAUUAUUGAUACAAUUUUCUCGACAUCAUGGGAAAGUAUAUUGUUACAGGAGCGCUUUUUUUGUAUGUGCUGAUGAUGAUAAUUCCAUUAGCACGAUUGGCAACGACGACGCCGCCGGCGCCAACAACAGCUGCAGCAACAACAGCAGCUGCAGCAACAACCGCCAAUUUUGCAAGUACGGCAACCCAGGAGAGUGAGAGCGCAGGCCAAGGAAUAACAUUUCAGUCAUCAGUGAUUGUUACCUCCCUUAUUUGUGUUUCACUAUUUUUAUAAAAGUGUGUUGUAUGUGGUUGCAUUUCCUUUAUUUAAUAUUUGAACUUAAAAUACAAUCUUUUAUGUUGUGUUGGCCAUGUACAUAUUAACAGAAAUAGAUACGACGUAUCAGUGAACCUGUGCAUGAAGGUGAUUUCGAGAGUUCUCUUUUAACUCGCUCUUAUCGCAUUUAUUCAAUACAUUCGGAACUCCUCGGCCAUUUUUAUCGAAAACAACCUCGGAUGUAUGCCGGUACAUCAGUUGAAGUAGUUCGUACUUUUUUGAAUUAAAGCAUUUAUUAAAUAUAGUGUUUUAGGGUUGUAACUAUUGAUCUAAUUUAAAUUGAUUGCCACUGAAGUGUAUUAUUGUACACGUUAUUUAAAUCCCAAGAGUUAAGUCAUAAAGUUUAACUGCUAAAUAAUAUUACUACGCGAUCUACUUGCAGCGGACUUAAACGUACCACUUUUUGAGUAUGUAAACCGUCCAAAUACAGCCGAGGUUGUUUUCGAUAAAAAUGGCCGAGGAGUUCCGAUUGAAUUCAAUACUUUCUUCGUCAUUCGGAACUCCUCGGCCAUUUGCUUUCGAUAAAAAAAAAAUAGCCCAGGAGUUCCGAAUGCUUUUUUAAAAUAACAAUGUAAACAUAACUUGAUGAAGUAGUGCACUCAAAUUCGUCUACAUAUACAAGUUUCCGUACACCAAUUAUUGCCUGUAUAUAACAUGUGAAUAAAAAGUUUGGUAAAAUGCCA